rnacentral:rRNA from 1 species
GUGGGGAAUAUUGGACAAUGGGCGAAAGCCUGAUCCAGCCAUGCCGCGUGUGUGAAGAAGGUCUUCGGAUUGUAAAGCACUUUAAGUUGGGAGGAAGGGCAGUAAGUUAAUACCUUGCUGUUUUGACGUUACCGACAGAAUAAGCACCGGCUAACUUCGUGCCAGCAGCCGCGGUAAUACGAAGGGUGCAAGCGUUAAUCGGAAUUACUGGGCGUAAAGCGCGCGUAGGUGGUUUUGUAAGUUGGAGGUGAAAUCCCCGGGCUCAACCUGGGAACUGCCUCCAAAACUGCAUGACUAGAGUACGGUAGAGGGUAGUGGAAUUUCCUGUGUAGCGGUAAAAUGCGUAGAUAUAGGAAGGAACACCAGUGGCGAAGGCGACUACCUGGACUGAUACUGACACUGAGGUGCGAAAGCGUGGGGAGCAAACAGGAUUAGAUACCCGGGUAGUCC